rnacentral:snoRNA from 1 species
UUUUGAAAUGAUGAGAAACCUUUUUUUUAAACAGUUAUCCCUGUCUUAAUAAAUCAUGUCGAGGUAAUAUUCAACGCUGAAACACAA